GGCGGGAUGCCGGAGCGGUUGAACGGGCCGCACUCGAAAUGCGGUAUAUCCGAAAGGGUAUCGUGAGUUCGAAUCUCACUCCCGCCG
rnacentral:tRNA from 1 species